rnacentral:rRNA from 1 species
CCUACGGGAGGCAGCAGUGGGGAAUAUUGCACAAUGGGCGCAAGCCUGAUGCAGCCAUGCCGCGUGUAUGAAGAAGGCCUUCGGGUUGUAAAGUACUUUCAGCGGGGAGGAAGGGAGUAAAGUUAAUACCUUUGCUCAUUGACGUUACCCGCAGAAGAAGCACCGGCUAACUCCGUGCCAGCAGCCGCGGUAAUACGGAGGGUGCAAGCGUUAAUCGGAAUUACUGGGCGUAAAGCGCACGCAGGCGGUUUGUUAAGUCAGAUGUGAAAUCCCCGGGCUCAACCUGGGAACUGCAUCUGAUACUGGCAAGCUUGAGUCUCGUAGAGGGGGGUAGAAUUCCAGGUGUAGCGGUGAAAUGCGUAGAGAUCUGGAGGAAUACCGGUGGCGAAGGCGGCCCCCUGGACGAAGACUGACGCUCAGGUGCGAAAGACGUGGGGAGGCAAACAGGAUUAGAUACCCUGGUAGUCCACGCCGUAAACGAUGUCGACUUGAGGUUGUGCCCUUGAGGNGUGGCGUCGUCGCGUACGACGUAGUACGACCGCCGCGGAGGACGGCCGGCCGAGUAAACGUUAAACUUAAAUAAGAAGUUAGUAGGCGNGNGAGAGCGACGGACGACGACGAGGGAGGAGGNG